rnacentral:rRNA from 1 species
GGAUCAUUACCGAGUGUAGGGUUCCUAGCGAGCCCAACCUCCCACCCGUGUUUACUGUACCUUAGUUGCUUCGGCGGGCCCGCCAUUCAUGGCCGCCGGGGGCUCUCAGCCCCGGGCCCGCGCCCGCCGGAGACACCACGAACUCUGUCUGAUCUAGUGAAGUCUGAGUUGAUUGUAUCGCAAUCAGUUAAAACUUUCAACAAUGGAUCUCUUGGUUCCGGCAUCGAUGAAGAACGCAGCGAAAUGCGAUAACUAGUGUGAAUUGCAGAAUUCCGUGAAUCAUCGAGUCUUUGAACGCACAUUGCGCCCCCUGGUAUUCCGGGGGGCAUGCCUGUCCGAGCGUCAUUGCUGCCCAUCAAGCACGGCUUGUGUGUUGGGUCGUCGUCCCCUCUCCGGGGGGGACGGGCCCCAAAGGCAGCGGCGGCACCGCGUCCGAUCCUCGAGCGUAUGGGGCUUUGUCACCCGCUCUGUAGGCCCGGCCGGCGCUUGCCGAACGCAAAUCAAUCUUUUUCCAGGUUGACCUCGGAUCAGGUAGGGAUACCCGCUGA